rnacentral:rRNA from 1 species
AGUGAACGCUGGCGGCAGGCCUAACACAUGCAAGUCGAACGGUAACAGCACAUCGGCUUCUUAUUACGGGCGAAGGGUUGCGUAAUGCUUCGGAACGCAUCUGGAUCUACUGUAUAACUACGCGUAAGGUUGGCUAACAUACCCUAAUACCGCAGAAGAAAUGCAGGUGACCGCCGGGCAUUUUGCUACUAUACCGGAUGAUGUCAGAUUAGGUAGUUGGUGGGAUAAAGGCUUACCAAGGCGACGAUCUGUAGCUGGUCUGAGAGGACGAGCAGCCACACUGGAACUGAGACACGGCCCAGACUCCUACGGGAGGCAGCAGUGGGGAAUAUUGGACAAUGGGCGCAAGCCUGAUCCAGCCAUGCCGCGUGCAUGAUGAAGGCCUUCGGGUUGUAAAGCCCUUUUGUACGGAACGAAAAGCAGUAGUCUAAUACCGGAGGGUCAUGACGGUACCCAAAGAAUAAGCACCGGCUAACUUCGUG